UGAGUAACACGUAGGUGAUCUACCCCAGAGACGGGGAUAACGGGUGGAAACAUCCGCUAAUACCGGAUAGGCUUGUUCGGUCAAAGGGACAAGGAAAGGCUCCGGCGCUCUGGGAGGAGCCUGCGGCCCAUCAGCUAGUUGGCGGGGUAACGGCCCACCAAGGCAAAGACGGGUAGGGGGUGUGAGAGCAUGGCCCCCCACAAUGGGACUGGAACACGGCCCAUACUCCUACGGGAGGCAGCAGCAGGGAAUAUUGCACAAUGGACGGAAGUCUGAUGCAGCGACGCCGCGUGGAUGAAGAAGGCCCUCGGGUUGUAAAAUCCUUUACAGGGGGAAGAGGAAGGACGGUACCCCUGGAACAAGUGUCGGCUAACUACGUGCCAGCAGCCGCGGUAAGACGUAGGACACAAGCGUUAUCCGGAUUUACUGGGCGUAAAGCGUCUGCAGGCGGACAGGUAAGUUGGGCGUGAAAGCUCCGGGCCCAACCCGGAGAGGUCGUUCAAUACUGCGUGUCUAGAGGGUGUCAGAGGGGAGUGGAAUUUCCGGAGUAGCGGUAAAAUGCGCAGAGAUCGGAAAGAACACCAAUGGCGAAGGCAGCUCCCUGGGGCAACCCUGACGCUAAGAGACGAAAGCUAGGGGAGCGAACAGGAUUAGAGACCCUGGUAGUCCUAGCCCUAAACGAUGGAUGCUGGAUGUGGGGCCAUAGCGCUCCGUGUCGAAGCGAACGCGUUAAGCAUCCCGCCUGGGGACUACGGCCGCAAGGUUAAAACUCAAACGAAUUGACGGGACCCCGCACAAGCAGCGGAGCGUGUGGUUUAAUUCGAUGCUACACGAAGAACCUUACCUGGGUUUGACAUCUAGGUGGUAGUGAAGCGAAAGCGGAGCGACCCUUCGGGGAGCCUAGACAGGUGCUGCAUGGCUGUCGUCAGCUCGUGCCGUGAGGUGUCGGGUUAAGUCCAGUAACGAGCGCAACCCUUGCCCUCCGUUAUACGUGUCAGAGGGGACUGCCGGCGGUAAGCCGGAGGAAGGUGGGGACGACGUCAAGUCAGCAUGGCCUUUAUAUCCAGGG
rnacentral:rRNA from 1 species